rnacentral:lncRNA from 1 species
UUACAAUCAAUUGCAGACUGGAACUCAGUGGUUGUCUUCACUUUGAUAAUGUUGCUACGCCUUCGACAUUUAUCACAGUGAGAAAAUCUAAAUUUUUACACUGGAAACAUCCUUCUACAUGCACAAGGAGCGAAAAGAUAGCCUCUAGCCUGUUCUGAAGAUCAUGCGCUCGCCCCUAGUUGUCAAUCACCCUCUCUUCAAGUGAAUGUGGAUGAAGUGGAUUGGUCUUGACACACCUUGAGUGUAGGUGUUCGUGCUAAUCCAAUGAGUCUGAUGGACACUCGUUGGGACAUGUUGGGCAUCGCUUUGCUCUCUCGAAGUCAGAAUCUGCACACUGCAGACCGAACUCAGCGGAUACUUUCUUCUCAUCAUUAUCGUCCACAGCUCCUAAGGGAUAAGAGACCAAAAAUUCAACAGUACAAGAUAUCAACGUCCCUUGAACUUCAAAAAUUGUUCAAGUGAUACACAAAUUUACGAAUCAGUCAUGAAGAAUAAUGCUCAUACCUAUACUUGAUUCAAACAGCCUGUAUUCUUAACACUUCCAUCCCCGCGAACUCGAAACAUAAAUGUACUUAGGGAUAAUACAUUUUUUUUCCAAUUGGGAGCCACAAAAAAGUUUCACAGGGAAAUCGCUGGAAAGACCAUGCAACUGAAUACAUGACUUACGAUCUGUAACACAAAAAAGCACUAUAAGACAUAAUAUUAACGCUGCAAGGCUGUCCAAAUAUAAUAAUGGUUCAAUCUUCAAUCUGAACUCAUGUGCAAUUCAGUGAUAUAUCACACCCUGCAGACGAAAAGGUUAUAUUCUCCUUUAGGCAUCAAUUGCUUUAAUUCUAAGAACUGAAUUGACAGAUAUAAUUAUGUAUAUGAGAAUCCGUCACGGACACAGACUUGUGAUAUGCCCAUCUAAAGUGUCUCAUGGCUUCAAGUGGCCUUAAUUUAUGUCCAUAUUUACGACAGUCACGCUUCUAAUGCGUCCAGUCAAGAAUCAGGACAAUUUUAUCAUGAAAUGCAGAAAACCCACUCAUUGUGACUGCUAUCAGUCGAAAUUGUACACAAAAAUGCCCGCUCGGUGAGAGAUAAAGAGGCAGAGUUAUACAAAUGACACACCAGAACCUUCGAAGCCAACCUUGGUAUCGAAGAAUGAACGAUUCUGCAAAAUAUCCGGUACAACUGUCGAGCAUUGUUAGGCUGAUACCAACUGAACCAGGCUCAAAAUCCAUAUGCUGAUGAUGAAGAAGCUACUUGUAUCGAUAACAUCUACGAUGACAUUUUCGCAGUGUUUACAAUCUUUGCAUUACGAGCGCAUGAUCAAAGAUGCUAGCACGCUUCUUUCAAUACGAAGAAGAGGGAACUUCACGUCCUACCUCUGCAUCGGUGCGUGUGAACGCGGCAUCAAAAUGCUUGGAAGCCAGCAGUUUCAAAAGCAUUUCCUUACUCCUGCACAAAUUUCAUGCACUGAUAAGCUGAUAUACAAGAAAAAGCAUUAACUCCAAAAUAUCUCCGUGAUGGAUAUCUACUGUAGGAUAAAAGAUUAGAGGAAACUGUCUUUACAUUUACCCAAAAGGAACAGCAAUUCACAUGCAUGACAAAGUCGAAAUGUGCUAACAGAUAGAGCGAAAAGGUAUCGAUCACUUAGACAGAAAUCUACCAGCGGUUCACAGCAUGACCGGACCAUCAAACAAACCCUCGCCAUCUCCUCCAGAACGAUAAUAUUUUCGCUCGAAAUCUUGGAUAAUACAGUAAGGGUGGACCCACGAACAUCAGGACUAUGUAAAGAAAUGGGUCCAUGCCCAAGGAAAGAAAAGGCAAACAAGAAAAAAUUGCUUUCUGACAAGUAGUAGCAGAUGAUAC